UAAUGGAAAGUACAGCAAAGAAGAGGGGAUGCAGCUUCAACAAAGACUGGGAAACUACAUAUCACUGGGUGAAGCCGGUGCAAGGUGAUUCUCAGAGAGUUUUCUGUGAAGUUUUCCAGAGUUCGUUUUCCGUUUCACACGGUGGGGAAUACGACGUGAAGCGACACGGUACAUGCGAAACCCCCCUCUCAGCUUUGAGAACAGACAUCACACAUUUUCGAGGCCUCGUGGGAAUACCUGAAUAGGCUGCCAACAAUCCACCUAUUGACCCAACCUAUCCCAUGAUGCACUGCACACGGAUGAGAGUUGGACUACUGAGGACACUGAGACUCCACAAGCUGAACUUUGGCAGCUGCAGAUUACACGUUUAAAUGUAAGUACUGGGUCACCUCCAUUUCAUCCAGUAUAUGAUCAAAUUACAUCAACAACACAAAAAAAAUCACAAGUUUUGACUCCAUCUUACCAAAACGAGACAAGUCUCGGUUUUUGUUUCAUUUUCAACCAACAAGGUUGCUACGCGACUGUUGAGACAGGAAGUCCUCUAGAGCCCAAAGCAUCCCAUUUAGCACCUUCAUAUCCUUUGAAGGCGUGGUCUUAGUAGGACACAUCCUUCGCAAUGGGACACAGCUAUUGGAUAAAUGAAAGAUUCUUCUGAGUUUUAACACUAUUGAAAGCAUUUUGCCGAAUCUAGGUGCCCAUUUUAAAUAUUUUAAGGUGGAAAAAUGACAUACUAUACCUUUAAACAACUUGCACUGCUAUGUGGAGAAACCUUGAAGGUGUGACAAACGCAUGACAAAAUCACUGCCAGCUCAUAUCUACAAGUUGGUUUCACAUCUUAAUAACAUUAAAAACCGUGGUUUUCCCCUUUAACUCCCUUCACUCCAAGUCCAGCAGCCCAUAUAAGGAUUCAAAGCUGCUAUGAUUCAGUCAAAGUUGUGCAAAAGUGCAGAGCUGUUCAGGAUGUGACUUGUUACCGAGUCACUCUAAUCCUGACAGUUUGCACUGCUUUAAAAGCAAAAGCAGAUGGACUAGAAUAACAAUAAAGCUCAGAUUGUGACUCAGCUGUUAAAAUCAGCGACUUAAGACAAAAUGACAGUUUCACCGAAAGAACCCGAACCUCCUUUUCUUGCACCUCCUUCCUUCUUAACCCCAUCCUGAUCUUAUAAUAGCCUGAAUCAGCAGGAUUCAAAGACUGAGUGUGAUAUCUGUAAUGAGGAUUUGGCACUUUUACCUCAACUUUUCAUUUAGAAAUAAUGAGAAAAGGUGAUGAAAAUGGAUGAAAUAAGUGAACAUUUUGUAGAGCUUACAAAAAUGACAGAUGAGUUUCCAUUUUCAGUCUUUUUUCACCACUAUAAUCCUUAAGCUUCAUGUUUACGAUAAUUAAACUAUAUCUAUCAUAACUGAUGUUAUCAUAGUGGAGCAUAUUAAGCUACUUUAUAUCUGCAAUCUGACAUGGUUGCACUGAUGUUCCUCUGGGAUUAAAAGCACAUGCCGUCUCUUCACUGAUGUCUUUUAUUUAUAUGUAAACCAUUAAUUACGACAUUUACAGGCAAAACUGCAGCUUUAUGUCAUUUUAUCAGAGGACAGCUUCCUUCCUUUGAUGACAGGUCAGACAGGCCCAUCUUUAUCUGAUCCUGCUGCUCUCACAAAGACCACUUUCAUUUUUAUUUUUUUACAUUUACCUUCAC